CCGAGUUAUACAACUCAUCAACCCUGUGAACAUACCUAUACUGUUGCUUCGGCGGAUCAGACCGGCCCUGUAACAACGGGCCGGCCCCGCCAGCAGGAUCCCCUAACUCUGUUUUUAUAUGUAAUUUCUGAGUAACAAACAAAUAAAUUA
rnacentral:misc_RNA from 1 species